UGGGGAAUAUUGGACAAUGGGCGCAAGCCUGAUCCAGCGAUGCCACGUGUGCGAAGAAGGCCUUAGGGUUGUAAAGCACUUUAGUGGGGGAGGAAGUUAAGUGGGUUAAUACCUCAUUUAAUUGACAGUACCCCAAGAAUAAGCACCGGCAAACUCUGUGCCAGCAGCCGCGGUAAUACAGAGGGUGCAAGCGUUAAUCGGAAUUAUUGGGCGUAAAGGGCUUGUAGGCGGUUAGAUAAGUUAGGUGUGAAAACCCUGGGCUCAACCUGGGGCUGGCACUUAAUACUGUUUAGCUAGAGUAUAGGAGAGGAGAAGGGAAUUCCUGGUGUAGCGGUGAAAUGCGUAGAUAUCAGGAGGAACACCAGUGGCGAAGGCGCUUCUCUGGCCUAAUACUGACGCUGAGGAGCGAAGGCGUGGGGAUCAAACAGG
rnacentral:rRNA from 1 species